CCUACGGGAGGCAGCAGUGGGGAAUAUUGCACAAUGGGGGGAACCCUGAUGCAGCGACGCCGCGUGGGUGAAGGAGUAUUUCGGUAUGUAAAGCCCUAUCAGCAGGGAAGAACAAUGACGGUACCUGACUAAGAAGCACCGGCUAAAUACGUGCCAGCAGCCGCGGUAAUACGUAUGGUGCAAGCGUUAUCCGGAUUUACUGGGUGUAAAUGGAGCGCAGGCGGCGCGUUAAGCCUGGUGUGAAAGUCCGCGGCCCAACCGCGGGACUGCAUUGGGGACUGGCGCGCUGGAGUGCCGGAGGGGUAGGCGGAAUUCCUAGUGUAGCGGUGAAAUGCGUAGAUAUUAGGAGGAACACCAGUGGCGAAGGCGGCCUACUGGACGGUGACUGACGCUGAGGCUCGAAAGCGUGGGGAGCAAACAGGAUUAGAUACCCCAGUAGUC
rnacentral:rRNA from 1 species